UACGUAGGGUCCGAGCGUUGUCCGGAAUUAUUGGGCGUAAAGGGCUCGUAGGCGGUUCGUCACGUCGGGAGUGAAAACUCGGAGCUUAACUCCGAGCCUGCUUCCGAUACGGGCAGACUAGAGGUAGGCAGGGGAGAGCGGAACUCCUGGUGUAGCGGUGGAAUGCGCAGAUAUCAGGAAGAACACCGGUGGCGAAGGCGGUUCUCUGGGACGGUACUGACGCUGAGACGCGAAAGCGUGGGGAGCGAACAGG
rnacentral:rRNA from 1 species